AUACGACACUGUUAUUAUGAAUAACAGUCUCCAUCACUUCAGUGCCUGCAGGUCAGAUUAAUGAAAGAUGUUUAUUUUAUGAGAUCACAUCAAACGGCAAACAUUCUGACCAAAUAUAUCAUCUUGAAGAAUCGGUGAAAGCAUACAUCCAAAUAAAGUAAUCAAAACAGCAACACGGUGAGGGGUAUCUGAAAAUCAGAGCAGAGUUUUAACUCACAAACACCUGGUAACAGAGGUGAGGAAACGGGAAACACUUCCCGUAAGCCUUAAGAACUUUACAGGUUAAGAUUAGUCGCAAAUAGGUGGUGCAUCAAUGUCCUUGAGCAUCCUGCAUUGUUUGAAAAUGAGAAUGGUCGCUAGUUUCAAUCCGUGCUAUGUGUAUAAAUCAUAUUCAAAAUGCCUCCCCUUCAUUUUCAGUGGGAACAGUGUGGUUGGUCUCCCUUUUUUGCUACUGCGUCAUAGUCUGGAGUAAAAUUUGUUGUGGCAAUUCUUAGGAGAGAUCCGAGGUGUUGGUCCGUUUACCUCGAUCUGUGACGGGUUGAUGUUGACGUUCAUGUGGCUGAACGUCACGUCGCGUACGUCGAGCCAAAUUGGCCACUCUUUUUUAACAUUCGGCACUCACUUCUUUUCUUCGGGCCACUCAUUUUAAUGGAAGGAUUCCAGGGGAAGGUUUGUGGGUGGCUUUAGCGCAAAACUGCAUCUGAAAAUUCAGCUCUAAAUUCGGGACUGCAACGAAUAGAGCGAGAGCGCGCUCAUGCCCGUACUACUGAGUACGUAUACGCACUUGAGUGUGCACCGAGCUUUCUGACACGGCUUCCGGUAGUAAAUGCGCAGGCGAGCGCUUCGCCAUCUACUGGGGAAACGCAGUCAUUGCAGGAAAAAUGACCCAAAAACAAAGUUUAAUAAUACAAUUUGUUCAGGGUUGGCGGGCCGGAUUAAACGGUCCCGUGGGCCGGAUGUGGCCCGCGGGCCGUAGUUUGCCCACCCCUGGUCUAGUUCAUCUGAUCCCGGCCUACAGGCAGAAACUAAAAACUUCUAAGCCUGUGGUGAGGACUGUGAGGAAGUGGACAGUGGAGUCAAGGCAGGGUCCAAGCCUGCUUUGACUGCACCGAUUGGGGAGCUUUCGAAGCUGCAGCUUCAGACUUGCAUGAACUCACUGACACUGUCACAUCAUACAUCAGUUUUUGUGAGGAUCUGUGUGUGCAGAUUAAGACCUUCUGCACGUACAACAACGACAAACCUUGGUUUACACCGAACCUCAGGAGGCUGUGCAAAGUCAAGGAGGAGGCCUACAGGAGCGGCGACCGCGACCUGUUCAGGCAGACCAGAAACACACUGAACCGAGAGGUCAGGAAAGCCAGGAGGUGUUACGGGGAGACCAUGAAGAGACACAUCUCUGCCAAUCCUGAUCCCUCAACAGUGUGGAAGGGUCUGCAGAGCAUCACAGGCUACAAGAAACGAACCGUCCUGUGGAGAGCCUGUCAUGCCUCGUUCCCAGUUUUUGUUAUGUGUCAUCGUUUCUGUGUCUGUGUGCUCGCCCCUCCCUUCCUGUGUGCCCUUGUUUAGAGUGAUCACACGCACCUGCCUCUCGUUACCUGUGUUGUAUUUAAGUUCUGUUUGAGUGUCACUUGCUGUCGGAGCAUUGUGUGUCUGUGUGUGCGUGUGUAACACGUGGACCAUGCAUGUCUCACGGUCACGGUUGGUUUUGUUCCCGUCUUUUGUUUCGCAAUUUAGUCGGUUAGUCUUGUUAGUUUGUUGGUUAGUCACGUCAGUUUGCCUAGUCUUUUUGAGUUUGUUGCAAUAAACCCUGGUCCAAGCUGCACUUGGUCGCCCUGCUCCAUUUCUCCACUCCGAAGCCGUGACAGAAUGCUCCGACCAUCACAGCGACCAGCGCUUGGACCUUCCAGGAUCAGCUCCCGUCCGCGACCUGCAAUCCACGGCCGUCGUCCGAGCAGGUUCCAGCACCAUGGGCUUCGCGGCCGCCAUCAGAGUUCCUCCCGGUGCGACCGGCUCCGCUGUUGCCAUCGGACUUCGCCCAUCGGCGACACCAGACUCGACGGCUGCCAUCGGACUUUGCUCCAGCGACGCUGGACCCACGGCCGCCGUUGGUCUUUGUGCCAGCAGCGCCAGAACCUGCGAUCAUCACCCGACAUCUAGGAAGGCAACAUGCUUGACUCGUGCCGCUGCGCACAACUCCGCCUCCCCGAAUCCCGCCGAUUGCGGCAUGGACUCCCCGAAUGCCGCCGAUUGCGGAUCUGUUUCCCCGAGUUGCCGCCGAUUGCGGAUCUGUUUUCCCGAGUGUCCGCCGAUUGCGGUUUUGUUUCCCCGGGUGUCCGCCGAUUGCAGUUUUGUUUCCCCGGGUGUCCGCCCGAUUGCGGCUCUGUUUCCCCGGGUGUCCGCCGAUUGCGGCUCUGUUUCCCCGGGUGUCCGCCGAUUGCGGCUCUGUUUCCCCGGGUGUCCGCCGAUUGCGGUUUUGUUUCCCCGGGUGUCCGCCGAUUACGGCUCUGUUUCCCCGGGUGUCCGCCGAUUGCGGCUCUGUUUCCCCGGGUGUCCGCCGAUUGCGGCUCCGUGUGCCCUAGUCGCCGCCCGAGUGCGGCUCUCUGCCCCUAGUCGCCGCCGCCCGAGUGCGGCUCUCUGCCCCUAGCCGCCGCCCGAGUGCGGCUCUCUGCCCCUAGCCGCCGCCCGAGUGCGGCUCUCUGCCCCUAGCCGCCGCCCCAGUGCGGCUCUCUGCCCCUAGCCGCCGCCCCAGUGCGGCUCUCUGCCCCUAGCCGCCGCCCGAGUGCGGCUCUCUGCCCCUAGUCGCCGCCCGAGUGCGGAUCUGUUUGCCCCUAGUUGCCGCCCCAGUGCGGCUCUCUGCCCUUAGUCGCCGCCCCAGUGCGGCUCUCUGCCCCUAGUCGCCGCCCGAGUGCGGCUCUCUGCCCCUAGUCGCCGCCCCCCGAGUGCGGCUCUCUGCCCCUAGUCGCCGCCCCCCGAGUGCGGCUCUCUGCCCCUAGUCGCCGCCGCCCGAGUGCGGUUCUCUGCCCCUAGUCGCCGCCGCCCGAGUGCGGCUCUCUGCCCCUAGUCGCCGCCCCUCGAGUGCGGCUCUCUGCCCCUAGUCGCCGCCCCCCGAGUGCGGCUCUCUGCCCCUAGUCGCCGCCCGAGUGCGGCUCUCUGCCCCUAGUCGUCGCCCGAGUGCGGCUCUCUGCCCCCCCGCCCCCCCGCGUGCCGUCGUGAGGGAUUGGAUUUUUGGGACGUCGGGAGCCGUCCCUUGUGGGGGGGGUUCUGUCAUGCCUCGUUCCCAGUUUUGGUUAUGUGUCAUCGUUUCUGUGUCUGUGUGCUCGCCCCUCCCUUCCUGUGUGCCCUUGUUUAGAGUGAUCACACGCACCUGCCUCUCGUUACCUGUGUUGUAUUUAAGUUCUGUUUGAGUGUCACUCGCUGUCGGAGCAUUGUGUGUCUGUGUGUGCGUGUGUAACACGUGGACCAUGCAUGUCUCACGGUCACGGUUGGUUUUGUUCCUGUCUUUUGUUUCGCAAUUUAGUCGGUUAGUCUUGUUAGUUUGUUGGUUAGUCACGUCAGUUUGCCUAGUCUUUUUGAGUUUGUUGCAAUAAACCCUGGUCCAAGCUGCACUUGGUCGCCCUGCUCCAUUUCUCCACUCCGAAGCCGUGACAGAGCCCAAGGCUUGCUAACUAGCUAAACAAGUUCUACUGCUGGUUUGAUCGGAUCUCCCACACAACGGGACUUCCUGCAGCACAAUCUAUAUACCGUUUUUUUCCGUGUGUAGUGCGCAAAAUUUAACUAAUUUAUUGUCCUAAAAUCUGGGGUGCGCAUUAUACAUGGGUACAAAAAAAUUAAAAAAAAUUUUUUUUUAAUUUUUUUUUUUUUUUUAAAGAAAGUCAUGGUACAACAAAACCAACAACAGGACUGACCGACAAAGUCGUGGAACAAAAAGACAGGGUGACAUUACCAAAGACAGGAACAGAACCCAAACAGACAUCAUGACAGUAACACAUGCAAUGAUCCAACGGUGAGCGAGGGGCAGACAGGACUUAAAUCCAAAACACGUUACAUCGAUUGAGGCGACACAGGAAGAGAGGGGCGACGCGAACAGAAACUAUGGCAACCUAGACACAUAGCAAAACUGGGGACGAGACAUGACAAAUCUCCCUCGAAAUAAAACUUGAAAUCACCUUUCUUCUUGUUUGUUGUCAAUCGCGCAUCGCAUUCAGCCAUCCUGCCCAACACACUUACCGUUGUUUUCCGUGUAUAGUGCGCAAAAUCUAACGAAUUUAUUGUCCUAAAAUCUGGGGUGCGCAUUAUACAUGGGUACAAAUUUUUUUUAAUUUUUAAAAGGGGCGACGCGAACAGAAACUAUGGCAACCUAGACACAUAGCAAAACUGGGGACGAGACGUGACAAAUGUCCCUCGAAAUGAAACUUGAAAUCACCAAGUUUUGGUUUCCAAGGGUGUUUUUAUUCCUCUUCAACGUCUCUCCCAUACAGAGCCGCCUUUUUCACGUCCGCACGCCUCGGUGGUGCGUUUAUGGGCAGUCGGAGAAAUCAACGCCACCAAAAAAAAUUACAUCCAGCCUAGUUAAGACCAUACCAAAGACUAUAAAAAUGGGACCCAUUGCCUCCCUGCGUGUGUGACAAUCAUUGGGACUUAAAAAAAAAAAAAAAAAAUCAUUAAAAAAAAUUCAUAAAAAUUGGGUGCGUAUUAUACAUGGGUACAGGCUUUUUUCCAGCAUCAGCAUGCCAUUUUUAGGGUGCGGUGCGUAUUAUACAUGGGGGCGCACUAUACACGGAAAAAAACGGUACUCACCUCUCCCCACAGCUGCUUUGUCCACACCUCUAUCAUCGCUGUUACCCACUCUCUCUCUUGCAGAGGCCGCGCCCGCACUCCAGGUCCGCGAGGAGGAAGUGCGCCAGAUGUUUCAAAGACAAAAGACCAGGAAGGCACCGGGCCAAGACGGCGUGUCACCUUCCUGCUUGAAAGUCUGCGCUGAGCAGCUGGCGCCCACCUUUGCACGGAUCUUCAACCGUUCUCUGGAGCUGUGUGAGGUGCCCUCGUGCUUCAAGAGCUCCACCAUCGUUCCAGUGGCCAAGAAGCCCGCCAUCACAGUUUGCCUACCGGGCAAACAGGUCAGUGGAUGAUGCGGUCAACAUGGGACUGCACUACAUCCUGCACCACCUGGACAACCCAGGAACGUACGCCAGGAUCCUGUUCGUGGACUUCAGCUCGGGGUUCAACACCAUCGCUCCUGACAUCCUCCAACAGAAGCUCAUCCAGCUUGCGGUGCCUGCCUCCACCUGUCAGUGGAUCACCAGCUUCCUAACCAACAGGAGACAGCGUGUGAGGCUGGGGGGCAUCACAUCUGACACCCGGACCACCAAUACUGGAGCCCCUCAGGGGUGACUUUCCUGUGAAGCUCCUGAAGUAUGCAGACGAUACCACUCUCAUCGGACUGAUCCAGGAUGGUGAUGAGACUGCGUACAGACAGGAGGUGGAGCGACUGGUCCACUGGUGCAGCCAAAACCACCUGGAGCUGAACCUGCUCAAGACCGUGGAGAUGACAGUGGAUUUCAGGCGAGUCCCUUCACCACUUUUACCCCUCACUAUCCGCAGUAAUACUAUUCUCUCCACAGACACCUUCAAGUUCCUGGGAACCACAAUCUCUCGGGACCUGAAAUGGACCGGCCACAUAGACUCUGUCCGGAAGAAGGCCCAGCAGAGGCUGUACUUCCUGAGACACAGACUUGGUAAACUAACAUAACUCUCUAACAAAACCAACAACAGGACUGACCGACAAAGACGUGGAACAAAAAGACAGGGUGACGUUACCAAAGACAGGAACAGAAACCUGUGUUAUUGGCAAAUAUUGUUUGUUUUUUAAUCUCCAUCGCGGACUGGACGUCAUACGGAGGCAGUAUAGAUCCGAUGCGAAUAGUCCUCUUCUUGACUGACAAUAAAUGUGAUAGUUUAAUACAAUCAGCAAAUAACAAAAUGCGUAUUACAGGUAAUAUUUUACUUCACAA